AGGCUGAUGGCGACCGGCGCACGGGUGAGUAACACGUAUCCAACCUGCCGUCUACUCUUGGCCAGCCUUCUGAAAGGAAGAUUAAUCCAGGAUGGCAUCAUGAGUUCACAUGUCCGCAUGAUUAAAGGUAUUUUCCGGCAGACGAUGGGGAUGCGUUCCAUUAGAUAGUAGGCGGGGUAACGGCCCACCUAGUCAACGAUGGAUAGGGGUUCUGAGAGGAAGGUCCCCCACAUUGGAACUGAGACACGGUCCAAACUCCUACGGGAGGCAGCAGUGAGGAAUAUUGGUCAAUGGGCGAUGGCCUGAACCAGCCAAGUAGCGUGAAGGAUGACUGCCCUAUGGGUUGUAAACUUCUUUUAUAAAGGAAUAAAGUCGGGUAUGCAUACCCGUUUGCAUGUACUUUAUGAAUAAGGAUCGGCUAACUCCGUGCCAGCAGCCGCGGUAAUACGGAGGAUCCGAGCGUUAUCCGGAUUUAUUGGGUUUAAAGGGAGCGUAGAUGGAUGUUUAAGUCAGUUGUGAAAGUUUGCGGCUCAACCGUAAAAUUGCAGUUGAUACUGGAUGUCUUGAGUGCAGUUGAGGCAGGCGGAAUUCGUGGUGUAGCGGUGAAAUGCUUAGAUAUCACGAAGAACUCCGAUUGCGAAGGCAGCC
rnacentral:rRNA from 1 species